AACUUUCAGCAAUGGAUCACUUGGCUCUCGCAUCGAUGAAGAACGCAGCGAAAUGCGAUAAGUAAUGUGAUUUGCAGAAUUCAGUGAAUCAUCGAAUCUUUGAACGCACCUUGCACCCUUUGGCAUUCCGAAGGGUAUGCUCGUUUGAGUGUCAUUGUACUCUCACACUCCCGAUGCUUUUGGAUUGGGAGUGGUGGACUUGGGUGUUGCUGCUUUACUGUGGCUCACCUCAAAUGGAGUAGUGCAACUCUUGGUUGGACAUAGUACGGCGUGAUAAGUGUCUUCGCCGGCGCCUCAUUAGAGGGUGGCCGAUCGGGAGCUCUGUGCUUCAAACCGUCUUCGGACAACAUCUGACAACUUGACCUCAAAUCGAGUAGGACUACCCGCUGAACUUAAGCAUAUCAAUAAGCGGAGGCU
rnacentral:misc_RNA from 1 species